UGAAUACGAGAUGCUACGGCGUCGAAGCAGUCUAUGUCAUACUUCCAAGAAAAGCUCGCACUGUCAUAAACAAAUAAUGCCUGUACCAUAACCGACACAGGUGGGUAGGUAGAGUAUACUAAGGGGCGCGAGAUAACUCUCUCUAAGGAACUCGGCAAAAUGACUCCGUAACUUCGGGAGAAGGAGUGCCUUAUUUAUAAGGUUGCAAUAACAAGAUCCAAGCAACUGUUUAUCAAAAACACAGGUCUCCGCUAAGUCGUAAGACGAUGUAUGGGGGCUGACGCCUGCCCAGUGCCAGAAGGUUAAAGAAGUUGGUUAGCAUUCGCGAAGCUGAUAACUGAAGCCCUGGUGAACGGCGGCCGUAACUAUAACGGUCCUAAGGUAGCGAAAUUCCUUGUCGGGUAAGUUCCGACCCGCACGAAAGGCGUAAUGAUUUGGAUACUGUCUCGGAGAGGGGCUCGGUGAAAUAGACUUGUCUGUGAAGAUGCGGACUACCUGCACCAGGACAGAAAGACCCUAUGAAGCUUUACUGUAACUUGAGAUUGAAAUUGGACUUUACUUGCGCAGUAUAGGUGGGAGGCGUUGAUAAUAUUCUUGCGGGAUUAUUUGAGCCAUCAGUGAGAUACCACUCUUGUAAUGUUAGAUUUCUAACUUUGUAUCAUUAUCUGGUCAAAGGACAGUUUCAGGCGGGCAGUUUGACUGGGGCGGUCGCCUCCUAAACGGUAACGGAGGCGCACAAAGGUUUUCUCUGAACGGGUAGAAAUCGUAUCUAGAGUGUAAAGGCAUAAGGAAGCUUGACUGUGAGACCUACAAGUCGAGCAGGGACGAAAGUCGGUCUUAGUGAUCUGACGGUGCUGAGUGGAAAGGCCGUCACUCAACGGAUAAAAGUUACUCUAAGGAUAACAGGCUGAUCUCCCCCAAGAGUUCACAUCGACGGGGAGGUUUGGCACCUCGAUGUCGGCUCAUCGCAUCCUGGGGCGGUAGUACGUCCCAAGGGUUGGGCUGUUCGCCCAUGAAAGCGGUACGCGAGCUGGGUUCAGAACGUCGUGAGACAGUUCGGUCCAUAUCCGGUGUAGGCGUUAGAAUAUUGAGAGGAGCCUUCUUUAGUACGAGAGGACCGAGAAGGACAUACCUCUGGUGUACCAGUUAUCGUGCCAACGGUAAACGCUGGGUAGCUAUGUAUGGAGUGGAUAUCCGCUGAAAGCGUCUAAGUGGGAAGCCCACCUCAAGAUGAUUGCUCUCACAGGGUUAACCUGGUAAGGUCACGGGAAGACCACCCGUUGAUAGGCACUCGGUGGAAGUCCAGCAAUGGAUGAAGCCAAGGUGUACUAACAGACCGAGGGCUUG
rnacentral:rRNA from 1 species